AUGAGAGGCAGCAUCCUAUACUCUUCAUUUCGGAGGAUUUCCCAGGGCCACCCACCCAAGUCCAGUGGAUUUCACAGGUCAUCUCCACUGGCUGCUCAGAGGUUUGGGCGGUCCAAAAGAUGGAUUGCUACUUCCGAUGGUUUACCCCGUGAAAAGAUGAUGCUUGUGAAUGAUUUAGUUUGCCCGGUCAAGUAUUUCAUGGAGGAAGUUCCGCUGCUUGAACCCUUAGAUGACAAUAUUCUCUUGAAGACCGUUGGAGGACCAAGAGGAAAGACACUGGUUGCAUGGAAAGCUGGGAAAACCAUCAGAAGUCUGCCAGAGCUGAUUGCAACAUAUCAAUUGCGUGGAUGUGCCCUGGGCAACCGUCUCCGGUUAGAGAACUUAAAGAUUUCUCGGUCUUCAGGGAGGUUUGUUCUUAUAGACACUGCAGAAAUUGGUCCCACUGAGAAGAAGGGAAGCUUCAUACAGGACUGGAACCUGGGUGGAGAUGUCCUUGAUACGAUUGCUAGGAGAGUUUUGGGUGUGGGUACCCCUUACCCCAAGGACCUUGAGAAAUACAUCAACAAUAUAUGCGAAGCCCGCUAUUGGCUAAGAGUCUAUGUUAAUCAGAUGUCCCGAGAAGACUUCGAAUCCCUCUCCAGAGACAUGAAGCAUAAGAUGCAAGAGUUCUUUGGAAAGCUACCUUAUGAAGGAGGAGUGGAGGAGGAGGGCUCGCUGAAAUGGCUGUCAGUAAACGAGGAAUUCAUCCGUGCUACCCUCGCUGAGUCAAGGAAAGAUGCACAAAAUAGGGUUACUGGUCCUAACUAUCUGAGCACUGAGAAGGCCAGGAAAAGAGACUUGGGUAGAUGGCUGGUCUGUGUCAACCGCGACGGUUUGACACAUGGGACGAAGACCAAGGCGAAACACCUCGAAGACAUCAAAAGAUUUAUGCUCACUGCACAAAACAUAUCGCAGCUGCUACAUGUGGAGUUCGAUGAGCUGGACCAGAAAUACAUUGAUCUGUGCGACGAGGACAAUGAGCUGCGGGAGCUCCUCAGCAUCGAAGGGAUAUUCUUCGAGACCCCAGAGACCUGGAGCAGUGCCAUUGAAGCACUCGAGAAGGAUAUUCAGGCAUACCACUUUGUGGUUGCUGCUACUUGCUGCGUUUGUGUCUUUGUGUGGUAUCUUACUGGAGUUGAGAUGUUAUCUGUUGCGUUGUGUCUUGGACCUGUUGUAACAGGAAGGCGAGGAGCACAAAGUGCGGUGGUGCUCCAUUUUGUCAGGUGGUUUGAUGAGUGUGGCUACAGCUCUCUUGUGUUACUCCGGGUGCCCAUAGACGCUCCUUUAGUACUUAUUUGCAGUCCAUGGAGCCGACGCACCAACAGACUACAUUACUUACUACAAGGACCAAAGCACACGAAGGCAGCUUCAAGAACUGACGCCAUCGACCGGAGCACACACACACGCCGGCCAUCAGUUCCCUACACCCACCAUCUAGCUGGUUUUAGGAAGAGACGCCCCCGGUGGCGAGCAUUCGGAGCUCUGGGUCAGCGGGAAUGCGAGCGGCAUGGCUUUGUGCGUGUCUCGCAUGGCCAGAGCAUGAAUCAGCUCAGCCCUGCCCCGCCGUCGGCCUUCUCGCAGCUUUUCUUCGUGCUCUAUUCAAGCUCAUGGCAGCGGCGACAUCCAAAUCUCCAAAUCUUAGGCGGGAUAAGUUGUCCAACCCAGCCUGAGGAGCUCGCCGUUGCUCGACCACCAGGAAGAAGCUCGCCGGAGCUCCGCGCUUCUCCGGCCACCGACGAGUAUACCCAGAGAUUCGCGCCGCUCUCCGGAUCACGUACGCGUUCUCGGAGGCGCAAAUGGAGGUCCCAGUCGUCCGGAACCGUCGCCGGAGGCCGUCUGUCCAUCGCUGCCGACGUGACCAUGGGCGAAGGCGUAUUCGGUGGAGUACGCUAUCAUCGCCAGUUCAGCUCGAGCCGAAAUAUCUAUCCUGCGGUACUCACAUCACAGAAAAUUACAAUCAAUGUUGUUCAGCUCAAUAGCUUCAGUGUUGUUGAACUCAAGAAUGCAUCGGGUAUCAACAUGGCUUUUCUGUGUGGAAGAAAGGCAGCCAGGCCCAUUGUCCGGGCUCAUGUGAUGUCCACCGUGUCCGCUCGUGCUCCAAAACCGAGCGGACACCCCACCGCUCCUCGUGCCCAGCGUGCCACCACCCCGCCUGACUCCAUCCACUCGUUGCACUCAGGCGAUGUCGCCUACAGUACCAUGCAACAUCCGCUCGUUGCAGGCCCCAGGACUCAUAUAAGACGAGAAGAACGGAGCGUCUCGUUCCAUUCCCCAAUCUCGCCGCCGCAGCGCUUGCUUCGGUUCGUCGAGUCCCGCUGCAGUUCGUCCGGAUCCGGACGAGAGAAGAGGAGGAGCAAGUUGGGACAGAUGAAGGCGCGGCAGUUGGUGAACGUGGUGAUGCGGAGGUACGGCAUGGGCAGCAGCCUCUAUGCGGUGAGCCGCAUCAAGCCCGAGGAGCAGCUCUUCUACCCAUCAACCAAGGAGGCGCAAGCCUCCAGCACGGGGGAGAUGGAGACCAUCUCCAUCUCCAGGAUGCCCGCGCCCAGCCUGAGGCUGGAGCUCUCCGUCUCCAAGGAGGACAAGAGGCUGGAUUUCCUGCCUUUCUACGAGCGCGGCAGCAAGAUCCUCUGCGUCGACGCCGAGGGCCGCACCGUCCUGUACGACACCGACGCCGGCCUCCUCCACUCGAUGCCCUGCCUCGGCACUCCCAAGGGGCCCAACCCUGUCUCCUCCAUCCUGGACAGGGAGCCCCGGGAUCCCGGGCGGGCGGACGCCUUGUACGUCAUGGGCAGGUGCUGCAACUACUUUGACUUGGAGGCCCUCAUGUACUGCGACCCCUCCAGCGGCAGGAAAGGCUGGCGGUGGCAUCAGCUCCCGCCGCCGCCUGUGCCUCGCGCCGCCGCCUCCGCCGUCAGGUGCCACGCGCUCAUCCACGACGAAGGCGACCCCAUCCUCGUCGUCUCCGCCAAGACGAGCGGCGUUGGCACCCACUGCUUCAACACCUCCACCAACAGGUGGUUCAAGGCCGGACGCUGGACGCUGCCGUUCGUCGGCCGCGCCGAGCGUGUUAGCGAGUUCGACAACCUCUGGUUUGGCAUCGGCGGCGGCUGGCCCUACGACCUGUGCGCGAUGGACCUCUACUCCCUCGGCGCCGGCGCCGAGGCUCUGGGGCUGGCGUACAGCUGGGGAGACCUUAGCCUGCCGGACGACUGGGUGAUGAUGGACUGCAGCAUGGUGUACCUGGGCGGCGGCAGGUUCUGCGUCGCCAAAAUCUUUGAGUUCCGCGUCGGCGAUGACCGGUUGGGGAUGGGCGCUGUCAUCUCUGGCUUGGAGGUGGUGCGCCGCGGCGAGCCAUCCAAACUCGUGAUGGUCAAGCACAAGUCCAAGUUCUACAAGUUUACCAGGGAUGAGAUCGAGUGUAUCCUCUAG
rnacentral:rRNA from 1 species